rnacentral:lncRNA from 1 species
AUCUUGGCAACCUUUAUUCACUGGGUUUGACACUCUACAGCUCGCACACACAAACUGCACACACACACUAGCACCUCUGGCUACACACGCCAGGUGCCAUGGAGCCUACACACGGAAGCCUACAUCUUGCCUCUUGUCUAGACUACUCUACACACAACGCAAGCUCUUAAAAUAGCCUCACGCACGCACACAACCGGGGCAACAAACCUAGCCUGGUUUUUUGCCACUAACCCACGCACCCAGUAACCAAUUGUGCAUGCACACGCGCAUGCACACAACUAGCCAACUAAUUCAACCGGCCACACAUGACCCGGCCGUGCAUGUAGUUGAACGAACCCAAGAUCAGAAUUGUCUAGACUACAUCUUGCCUAACACACGGAAGCCUACAUCUUGCCUCUUGUCUAGACUACUAACAUUGCAUGGUCACGGACGCCGACGGUGGAGGGGCGGGCUCAGAGGUAGUAGCCCCAACGCGAGCGCAGACGAAGGAGCGUCGGGCCGCUGCACUGGCUGCCCAAUCAUGUCAAUAGCAUCGAAGUAGACCAUAGUACUAUUUCAUACGGUUUGGCUCCGGGUGCCUUCAUGCUCUUUGCGCCAAAUCUUCUUUGCUCUAGGGUCAAAAGGAAUUGUUAUACCAUAAGGCCUCCUUUAGUUCAUAGGAUAGAAAUGUUGUAGGAAUAGAAAAAUCAUAGAAAGUGAGAUGACAUGCAUCUCAAUUCCUAUAGAGAAAGAGAUGUCAUUUGAUGCAUAGGAUAGGAAUUUUUCCAUUGAGUCUUAACUAAUGUUUUUUUCCUCCAAAAUGUGAAGGAUUGAUUCCUAUCCUAUAUAGGAAUAGGAAUCCAUUCCUACAAAUCAAAGAGCCUCAAAGGAAUUUUUCUAUGCAAAUCCUAUCCUAUAGAAAUUCUAUGACAUUCCUACAAACCAAAGGAGGCCUAAUGGGAAGUGGUCCAUGGCGUGGAGUCGAAGUGUGUUCUUACUGAUUGAUUAUAUUCUAACUGCAUCAAAUUAAACUCUCAUGCUGUACAAAUCAUGCUUAAUAGUUGAACACAAAUUAAUAUUUUUCUCCCAACUUCCCUGCGCCACUAAAUUACUGGCUUUGGUGAAACGACUUGAAUUGAUCAGCUCGUGGAGAAGGAUGCUGACGCAUCAAUACAUCGUUUUGGAAGGCGAUGAACUCCGUUGACAGGGUAGACAUUAGACAACAUGCUCAUGAACAUGGCCGUGAUGAUGAAGCAGCAGGACCACGACGAGAAGAAGGAAAUAUAAGCCACCAGGUCGUCCAGGCACCUCCACUCCACGCAGGCCCAGGAGUCACUCGAUAAGCUACUCUUCGACCUCUACAAGGUGCAUGUUGUUGGAAAUAUGAGCAAAUUACUAUGAGAUUUAAUCCGAAUAAACAGAAGAUAAAUCAUGACCACAGCAGCAGAGAUUAAAUUAAUCAUGCGAACUAGCAUAGCAGAUGAACAUAUCACAUCUAGGGCACAUACUAGAAAUAUGAAUUCUACCACGAUCUCGAACAGGAAGGAUAGAAUCACAUACGGUGCAGCACCGCCGGCGUUGACGGUGUCGCCCUUGUCGUCGAGGAUGGGUUGCCGAGGUCGGGGAAGAGGUCGUCGUUCGCGAAGUCGUCGCUGCCAGCAGUCGCGCGAGUGCGCUCCCCAAAAACCUGAUCUCCCCUCUCUCGUACAGGAUCACGAGAGGCGGGGUUUCGGAGGCCUGCUGUCCCUUCUCGCGGUGCACGCCGGAAGGAGGGAUGGAGAAGACUUGCUUGGCGGCGCAAUGAUCUGGAACGGUGGUGAGAAACCAUACGAAGCGGCGGCGGCUAGGGUAGACGUCUGCCUGACUAUAUAGUGCGGGCCGGGUAGGUCGUGGGAGUAAACCCCACGUCCGAGUCAUCACGAUCCAAAAAAAUCGGAAACGGUUCAGUAAUUAAUGCGUCCGUUAAAUAUUAAUUAAUGACUCAUUAAUUUUUCCAUGCAGCAAAAAUAUAGACAACGUGCAUAGCUCUGUCCUCGGCUCGGCUCAAUCCCGCAACCCGCAACCUGCGGCGCGUCGUGACGAGGCGUGGUGAGGCGAGCGAGGAGGAGGAGCGCGCGUGUAGGUCUUCUCUUCUCAUGCUCAUACAAGUGGUAGAAGAGCUCACCUUAUAAAGAGGUGCAACUCUCUCUCAACUUCCGGGGUGGGACUAAACUUUAGCCUCACUCACUCCAUUCAUAUGUGUGCAUGAAUGGGCCAAGAGAAUUUCAGAAUUUUAGUUGGGCUUUGGGCCAAAGGCCUGCUAGCAAAAUUCCAACAAUCCCCCAUAAAGUCUCAUUGGCACAUCUCAUCAUUUAGUUCCAAAACAUUGUUUUAUAUAUCGGUGCUUAGUGGAGACUGUGAAGUUGAACUUCCACUGAGAAAUUUAUGCUACACUAGAUCACAACUUGAAUAGUGGACUAUGCCUUAAACUACAAGUUUUCUGUGAAACUAGUUUCACAUAAAUUCUUGACCGAUACUGGGCUGCCGCAAGGCUUCCCCGCGGGUGGAGCGUAUACGUCAUACUCCAGGGUCUUUCAUGAAUUUAUUAAAGAACACCCAAUUCUCACAGACUGCGACGUUAACAGUCAAAUUCAUAUAGGUGUGUUCCUCAGAAGAUGUUCUGCAGGACAACAUCUCUGCUUACCCGAAUAAGCCACUUGGAACACAUUAAGAUAAGUAUCAACCUGCCAUGCAGAUCAGGAGAGUAUUGCAUCUUCACGGAGUGGGAUAAUUAAUAUAGGGAUACUCUCCUCCCAGCUGACCAACAGCUUGUCUCCCACUUCUACUUCACCGGAUCUCCGAUCACAUAGAGUGGGUUACCACUAUGGACAACUCAUGCGGUGGGUCUCAAACCCAUCUCCAUCGAUGCAUUAUCUAUCACAUUACGUGAUAGACCCUUUGUGAAGGGAUCUGCCAAGUUUUUCGACGUUUGGAUAUAAUCCAACAUAAUAACUCCGGAGUUCCUCAAUUUUCUGACAGAUUUUAGUCUCCUUUUCACAUGCCUUGAGGACUUCAUAUUGUCCUUAGAACUGUUUAUCUUGACGAUCACAGUUUGAUUAUCACAGUUCAUCGGGAUAGGGAGUAUUGGUAUUUCAACCAUAGGUAAGUCCAUCAAGAGUUCACGAAGCCACUCUGCUUCAACAGUGGCAGUGUCUAAUGUUGUGAGUUCUGCUUCCAUAGUUGACCUUGUUAAGAUGGUCUGCUUGCAAGACUUCCAGGAAACAGCGCCACCACCAAGUGUAAAAACAUAACCACUUGUGGCCUUAAUCUCAUCAGCAUCAGAUAUCCAGUUUGAGUCACUAUAACCCUCCAGUACCCUUGGAUACCCGGUGUAGUGAAUCCCAUAGCUCGUGGUGCCUUUCAAAUAGCGCAUAACUCUCUCAAGCGCAUGCCAAUGAUCAUCUCCCGGUUUUGACACAAACCGACUCAGCUUGCUCACAGCAAAAGAGAUGUUAGGCCUCGUGGCACUCGCCAAAUACAUAAGCGAGCCAAUAAUCUGAGAAUACCUCAGUUGAUCUCUAGCAAUCCGUCGAUUCUUUCGAAGCAACACACUAGCAUCAUAUGGAGUUGGAGAAGGCGUGCAGUCGCUAUACCCAAAACGACUCAAGACCUUUUCCACAUAAUGAGACUGAAGCAGUGUGAUCCCACCAUUCUCAUCUCUCAACAGCUUGAUGUUUAAGAUAACAUCAGCUACUCCUAGAUCCUUCAUCUCAAAACAGCGAGAUAAGAAAUCCUUAACCUCCUUGAUUAAAUCAAGUUUGGUUCCAAAGAUCAAUAUGUCGUCCACAUACAGACAAAGAAUAACUUCUUCGCCCCCACCAUAGCGAUAGUACACGCACUUGUCACCAUCAUUUACUACAAAGCCGGCAGCAGUUAAUGUUCUUUCGAACUUCUCAUGCCACUCCUUAGGAGCUUGUUUAAGGCCAUAUAAAGACUUUAAUAACUUGUACACCUUUCCUUCCUGACCAGGUACUCCAAAACCAUCUGGCUGAUCCAUGUAAAUUUCCUCCUUCAACUCUCCAUUGAGGAAAGCCGCCUCAAUGUCCAUUUGAUGAACGAGAAGACUAUGUGAGGCAGCCAGUGAUAGUAGCACCUGAAUUGUGGUCAGUCUAGUCACGGGUGAGUAAGUAUCAAAGAAGUCUUCACUUUCUUUCUGGGUAUAACCCUUGGCCACAAGCCGUGCCUUGUACUUUUCAAUCGUACCAUCAGGUCUAAGCUUCUUCUUGAACACCCACUUACAUCCUACAGGUUUGCACCCAUAAGGACGGUCAGUGAUCUCCCAGGUACCAUUAGCUAAGAUGGAAUCCAUCUCGCUACGUACAGCUUCCUUUCAGUAGUCAGCAUCAAGAGAUGCAUAGGCUUCUGAAAUAGUCCUGGUUGUGUCAUCCACGAGGUACACAAUGAAAUCAUCACCAAAAGACUUUGCAGUCCUCUGUCUCUUACUCCUCACAGGAGUUCCAUUGUUACCCUCAACAGGAUUCUCAACGUGAUCCAUCGCAAUGGUGGGUUCAGGAAUUACAGUGAAUUCCUCACUAGAUGGAGUAGGUAUCUCCUGAUUUGAUGAACUCGACAUAUCCUUCAUAGGAAAUAUGUCCUCAAAGAAAGUUGCAUCAUUUGAUUCCAUAAUCGUACCAACAUGCAUGUCGGAUACCUCAGAUUUUAUUAUCAAAAAUCUAUAGCCGAUGCUAUGAAAAGCAUAGCCCAGAAAUACACAAUCCACGAUUUUUGGUCCAAGCUUGCGCUUCUUGGGAAUUGGUAUAUUGACUUUCGCCAAACAACCGCAAGUACGUAGGUAAAAGAGUUUCAACCUUUUCCUUUCCCAUUCAUCAAAUGGAGUCAUGGUCUUAUGCUUUGUGGGAACUCGGUUUAGGACAUGACACGCAGUCAUUAGCGCCUCCCCCCACCAUUCCUUGGAUAGACCCAAAGUGUCUAACAUGGUGUUAACCAUAUCAGUUAGAGUUUGGUUCUUUCUUUCCGCUACCCCAUUUGACUGGGGUGAGUAGGGAGGCGUCCUCUCAUGGAUUAUACCAUGUUCCGCACAAAACAGAUCAAAUUCAUUGGAAAAAUACUCUCCACCACGAUCGGACCUAAGCCGUUUAAUUUUUCGAUCAAGUUGGUUCUCUGCCUCAGCUUUAUAGUUUUUAAAGAAAGUCAAAGCCUCAUCUUUUGAUUUCAGAAGAUACACAUAACAAUAUCUAGUGGAGUCAUCAAUCAACGUCAUGAAGUAUCUCUUUCCACCUUUUGUCAACACGCCAUUCAUCUCACAAAGAUCAGAAUGUAUAAGCUCUAGUGGCGCCAAGUCUCUUGCCUCUGCAGUCUUAUGUGACUUGCGAGGUUGCUUAGCUUGCACACAUACUUGGCACUUGGAGCCUUUGACAGUAGAGAUUUUCGGAAUUAAAUUCAUAUUGGCUAACCGCGUCAUGCAACCAAAGUUAAUAUGACAGAGUCAUGAAUGCCAAAUAUCAGACUCAUUAUUGUGGCAAACAUUAUUAAUAACUUUAGUGCAAAUAUCUGACAAAGAUAGGCGGAACAAGCCUCCGCACUCAUAGCCUUUUCCAACAAAUUGCCCACACUUAGAAAUUACAACUUUAUUGGAUUCGAAAACCAACUUAAAACCAUCUCGACAGUCAUAACCUAGGGUGACACAGAACUAGCGGAGAACAGUAUAGCAAUGAAAAAGUAAAUAAGCGGAGAACAGUAUAUGAAAAGCUCGUAGGCAAUGGACCGGUGAUGGAAAAUUAUGCCAGAUGCGGUUCAUCAUGUAACAGUCAUAACCUAGGGUGACACAGAACUAGCUCCAGUUCAUUGAUAUAAUGUAGGCAUGUAUUCCGAAUAUAGUCAUACGUGCUUAUGGAAAAGAACUUGCAUGACAUCUUUUGUCCUACCCUCCCGUGGCAGCGGGGCCCUUACGGAAACUAAGGGAUAUCAAGGCCUCCUUUUAAUAGAGAACCGGAACAAAGCAUUAACACAUAGUGAAUACAUGAACUCCUCAAACUACGGUCAUCACCGGUAAGUAUUCUGAUAAUUGUCACUUCGGGAUUAACGGAUCAUAACACAUAAUAGGGGACUAUAGACUUGCAAGAUAGGAUCUAGAACUCUCAUAUAUUGAUGAAAACAUAAUAGGUUCGGAUCUGAAAUCAUGGCACUCGGGCCCUAGUGACAAGCAUUAAGCAUAGCAAAGUCAUAGCAACAUCAAUCUCAGAACAUAGUGGAUACUAGGGAUCAAACCCUAACAAAACUAACUCGAUUACAUGAUAGAUUCCAUCCAACCCAUCACCGUCCAGCAAGCCUACGAUGAAAUUACUCACGCAUGGCGGUGCAUUAUGAAAUUGGUGAUGGAGGAUGGUUGAUGAUGACGAUGGCGACGGGUUCCCCUCUCUGGAGCCCUGAACGGACUCCAGAUCAGCCCUCCCGAGAGGUUUUAGGGCUUGGCGGCAGCUCCGUAGCGUAAAACGUGAUGAUUUCUUCUCUCUCAUUUUUUUCUCCUCGAAACACAAUAUAUGGAGUUGGAGUUGGAGUCGGAGAGGCAACAGAGAGCCCAUGAGGUAGGGGCGCCCUAGGGGGGCAGGCGCGCCCCCCACCCUCGUGGAGAGGUGGUGGGCCCCCUGGCCUUCAUCUUUUGCAUGUAUUUUUCAUAUUUUCUGAAAAGUUGCUCCAUGAAGUUUCAGGUCAUUCCGAGAAUGUUUGUUUCUGCACAUAAAUAACACCAUGGUAAUUCUGCUGAAAACAGCGUCAGUCCAGGUUAGUUUCAUUCAAAUCAUGCAAUUCAGAGUCCAAAACAAGGGCAAAAGUGUUUGGAAAAGUAGAUACGACGGAGACGUAUCAGUGCACGAAGCUAGGAGUGUAUAUUGUGUGGCUAGAUGGUACACGGUAGCAAAUAAGAAAGAACAACAGCGUAGUGAAUCAUGGAUCGUCGAUUUUCUAAGUGGUUUGCUUCUAGUCUUCAUGCCUUGUCAUAAUUUUCUUUGUUGGAAGAUCGAAUGACUAUUUAUGUGAGUGGUAACUUGGGUUGUAGGUUUUUCAGACAUCUCUUUUACUUGGAUCUCCAUUUCUUCAAUCCACAUAUGUUGGUUUUCUUUGUAUCAAAGGCAAUGGUGGUGUAGUGUACUGUUGUUCUUCUUCCUCUGCCAUUAUUUAUUUCCCAUGGAAAAUUGAUAGGUUAUAAACAGAACACAUGGUGAAUGUACCCUUGAAAAUAUAAGGCACCUUCAAGAAUUAUAAUAAAUUUGAUAAUACUUCUUGUGGGCAAAAUAUCAUAUAAAAUUUAUAAAAUAUCAAGGUUAUUGAGUUCAAUAUUACAUUGUUUCAUACCACCAGUAAGUAUUCCAUCAAUGAUCCAUGAAUUCACUUCAUAGUUGUGGCCUAAGAUUACCUCCUCUAGUUGAGCACCUGAAUAUUGCAGAAUUCACGAUUGAAUUGGAUUUUCAUCCAAAAGUCAUUUUACUAAACAUAGCCAUACAAAUCCAGGACUUGACACUGGUGUUAAGGACAAGGAUAAGUAUUUGAAUGUAAUCCUCUAUAUCUAAAUAUAAGAUAUUUUAGCAUUUGAUCUAAGAUCUCUUUUAUUCUCAGUGGAAAAGAUGAGAAAGAAUCAUAUGAGCAGUAAGAAUUUCCUUCAAAUAUGCAAGAGAAGUUUACCUAUGCAAGGGGUGCCAUUGCUGCAACUUCAGAUAGGGCAACAGUGUUAGUGUGGUGCACAACCUGAGAAAGUGUUAUGGGGACUCGAAAUCCAGAUGCAGGUCAAUGAUCCCAACAAAAGGCGAUCCAACAAGCCUUGAACAAAGAGCUAAACAGAAAGUUCACAAAAAAUGCAAGGUAAAGUUUAGGAAAAAGUAUUUAGAAGAUCACUGCGAUGUGCUUUUGGGACCAACGGAAUGGACAUAGCAAGGCAUAUUUCUAUGAAAGCACGGUGGACCUCGUUCUGAAAGAUGGCGACGCGGAAUGGACUAUUUUUUGGCAUCGCUCGCUCGGGCUUGCAGAUAGAAGGAUGAAAGACGAAUAGUAUAAUGUAAGAAAGAAAUAAGUAUGUACCCAAAUGUAUAGAAAAAAUGCCAAUAGGUAUAUGCCGGGCUGCAGAUUUUUUUUCUUGUUAUACAUUACAUAGCUAGAUGGCAUACACCCCGAUAAAGAGUAGCACUUCCAAAGAAAACAUAGAAUGGACAAGAAGAAAUUUUCAGAAUUAAUAACCAAGAAAAAUAGAAAUGUUAAGCAACCUCCCGAGGUAUCCAUUUAUAUGUGUUAUGCAUUUUCAGUAUCCGGGUUGAGAGUAUUGAAUAAGCCUCUUGCUUCUUCUGUUCUCCCUACUGUAAGGUCCACUGAAAACAUGAGAACCACUUGCAGGAGUCAUACUUAGAAGCAUUAAAUCUUAGUCGCAAAGUUGACAUCCAAUUCAAUGUGCAAGAAAGAGUUCAAAAGUUUGAAAGCAUAAACAUAUCGAUGAAUUUGGAAGAAGACUUCCAAGUAAUCUGCUUCCUUUCCUGACAAACACAACGUACAUGGGAAGAUUUAUGCCGAUUUGAUUGGAACAACAUGAACAUGGGAACAGUAAGAAAUAUGAGUACCUUGUAAUUUUCUUUCGAUGGUCAGACCUAAGUGGCCUAGUAGCUUCUAAAAUCGAAUUGAUGAUUUCACUUGGAGAGCAUGCGGAGGUGAAUCUUUUCUCUCUUCUAUGUCCCUGCCAAAAAUUUGUAGAGAUUAACAUAUUGCAAUGAGUUGUAGCCUCUAAAAACUUUCCAUAAUUCCAUUUUUCAAUUUUUCAAGUGAAAACCGACAUAAGCUAACUAUAGGGAGGUAAAAAAAAGCAAGGUACAUUGACAAUAAGCAUAUUAUAGAGAUCAAAUGAACAAUAGCAUGAAGUUUGAGUCGUGUUACUUAUAUCCCCCUCAAUACUCUUACACAGCCACACCCUUCUACAGGAUAUGUUGUUGUGAAAGUAUCAACUGUGCAACGAUAUGGGGAAUCAUGCUACACAUAUAUCAAUCAGUCCAGAGCCCAAGCAAGCACGUUGUAGGCUCAUGGCAGAAUCAUAUAAUUAUGCAAAUGACAUGUUAUGUAUAUAACAUGACACGUAAAGUAUUUUAUAGAAAUAAUGCCAUGCACCUUACAUCAAUUUGCCACAAUUCUUAAUUAAUGAUCAGUGCAUAAUUGUUAGCUCAUAUGUAGUUGAUUAUGUUUUCCUCUCAGAUAUAUAUGGGUCAUGUUCCAAAAAAAAAAUCGUCUAAACUAAAAAGAUAUACCAAAUCAUAGUUCUCAUCCCAAAAAUAGUUUACGUCAAAAUUAAUUCCAAUCCAUUUAUACUUAUUCUAGGGUAAUACACUUAACUCAUCAUCAACAUAAUUGUUCAUGACGGUAGUCCCUAGGUACUGAUAGGAAUGAAUUCAAAAAGGGAACCACGGUGUAACCUAGAAAUUGACACAGUACCACCACAAUUUUCAACACUUGUAGGCUGCCCAUAAUGGGAGUAUAAUAGGUAGUAUCAUGCAUGCCAACUAGUCAAUUUUGAUGAGGUGACAUAGAAUUAAAUGAGGAAAGAGAGGAUUGAGUAUCAUAUCAUGAUACUGUAUCGUAUUAAUUGAUGUGCCACUCUAUGUCAUGUAUGGCAAUAAAUAAAGUCAUAUAUGAUACCAACAUAUGAUGCUAUGCACUAGGAUGUAGUAUCAUACAAUAGUAUCAUAUGCAUGAUAUUAGUAUAUGAUACUCCCCACUACCACCAGGUUAGCUCUCCAUAGCCCCAAGCACAUCCAAUGCUUUAAUGACUUUGUAUAUUCAAUGUGCACAAAAAGGAACAAAAAUGAGGUCGUAAAUUCAAUCAGGCGCAAGCACACUUGCUUGUAAAUUAAUAUCUUCUAGUUUGAUUUUCUCAACUAUACAUUGUAUUUGUUGCACUUUUUAUUUCUCGAGUUAUUUAAUUAGCCGAAACACAUUGGUUUACGCAUAAGUUAUUGCUCUUAGUCAAUAUUGGUCCACUUGCUCAUAUAAUCCAGGACACACGUGAGCAUUGUGAUUCGGGAGUACAAACAUAUUGCUUCCUCCAUUCCAAUGAAUAAGGCGUGCGUGCCUCUCAAAAUCCAACUUUGGUCGUAAAUUAGAUCAAUAAAAAAAUUAUGACUUAAAAGUUAUAUCAUUAAAAACUUCUUUUCAAUAUGAGUUCAGUGGCAUAAUUUUUAUCACAUACAAUCCACAUUUGGUUGGUCUAAUUUAUGGUCAAAGAUGAAUUUGGGAUACGUGCAUGCCUUAUUCGUUGGAAUGGAGGGAGCAUGUGUUGUAUGUUGAAAUAUUAUAUAAGGGGGCACCUUAAUUUUCCAAGUUGCAGGUGCCCCCUUAUGUCGAAAAUUAAGGUGCCCCCUUCCAAACACAAUUUCGAACUAUAUAAGAAAUCCGCCCAAAGUUGAUCAACCUGUAAAAUGACUUGACAUAAUUUGUACCAGAAGGCUCAAGCAUCCAAAUAGGGAUAUCCUUAGCAGAAACUUUCAUUAUUUGUAAAUAAUAAGGAAUAUUAUUUCAUUUAUUUGCUAAUGUUUUGAAAAAGGUGUGCACUUUUGAAGUGUCGACAAUGCUAGAGUAAGGGCGGAUGAAAACAAUGAAGGCGAAGGGGAAGGCAAGAUGGGGACAAAGAUGAUGCGUUCUCUUCUAUCAGAGAGGGUCCUUAACGAGACAUAACAAUUGAUGUGGUGGAAAGUAAAAGAUAUAAUUAAUAUUUGUCGCAAUAUGAGUAGUACUCCCUCCGUCCCAUAAUAUAAGAACGUUUUUGACACUAGUGUAGUGUUAAAAACGUUCUUAUAUUUUGGGACAGAGGGAGUAGAAAAGAUGGUAUGCUCAUUUUUUUCUGAAUUAGAAUAAUUGUUUGAACGGAAUUGUUGUGCAUACGAUUUUUUUCGUAUGAUAGGCAUUCGAUGCUUCCAUCUCAGCAGUGGAUAUUAUUGAUUGACGUUCUUGAUUUGCACCAUCGGAGUGUUGGAUGAAAAGCAUCGAACGUGUAGCAGCACUCUUGUUUAAGUCAAUGUUUUUUCUAUUUCAUGACAAUGCACAGGCAUUCAACUAGUAAACUUAAGUGUUGAGUGAUGACGGCUGAGUUGUGUUUGCAUUUAAAGCUAGCUUACUGCAAGUGUGGACAUAGUGGUAUUCCUGAUAGGUUGGACCGAGUUUGAGGUGUUGAAAUCACUCUAGUUACUAAGCUCCCGUGAAAUAGCGAGCUCUCAGCGCUCUGGGCGGUGAAAUCGUUGUUGUCCCGCAUGUCAGUUGGUGACCAUUGCUGUUUUUUUCGCGUGGGCUUACCGGCUGGUCUUCGUGUCGUCUGCUCCUUCGUUUUUUUCUUUGUUGCAUGUCGUUGUUACCGUUAGUACAAAAGAGUCAUGCUAUGCAUACGAUAGAAAUCAGAUGAUUAACAGACGAUGAUUAAAUCAGGCCGGACAUGGAAUGAUUGAAAGAGCACCAGCCCCUAGAUUUACAUGUCGUGCAGACGUCGGGCAAAAGUAUCGGAUACAAAACGAGGGAAGUGGAUGCAUAUCCAGCUGUUGUCUCGAACCGUCCCCGGUAGAUAUUUUAUUGCGCAAAAAAGGCGAAAAAUUACCCCUCAGUUCUCCGCCUGGUUCUCCUCCUAUCUCAUACGCAGCGGAGACGCCCCAAUUCCUCCGCGGGUCAGUGCAACGACGCCAACUGCAGCGAUCGGAAAGCUCUCUCCCUCCAUAGCCACGUCUGGUUCGUUUACCUUUUUUUAGAUCGAUAGCUAGCAAGAGAGGAUCACCGGUGGGGAAGAAAUUGAGGAGAUGCGGCGGACAGGAUAGGCUUGAUCGCUGGUGGACACGCCGCGGCCAGCGAAGUUGUGUGGUCGACGGUGGCAAUGCAAGAUGGCAUUGGCCGCGGUUCAGAAUCUGGUCGGAGCUGGGCACGAGGUACGACAGGAGCGCAGGCGGCGCUGACGAUGGUGUGGUAGGAGCCGCAGGAUGGUGAGGUCGUGACUUGCAUGUUGGCGCAAACCUAGAAAUCAUACACAUAAAAUAACCCAACUCAAACACGAACUCAGAGCAAUGGCACCGAACGCCGCAGUCGCAAACCGGCCUAUAUCUUGGCAAUCUUUAUUUACUGGAUUUGACACUCUACAGCUCGCACACACAAAAUGCACACACACACACUAGCACCUCUGGCUACAUACGCCAGAUGUCAUGGAGCCUACAUAAGGAAGCCUACAUCUUGCCUCUCGUCUAGACUACUCUACACACAACGCAAGCUCUUAAAAUAGCCUCACGCACGCAUACAACCGGGGUUGGCUUGGUUUUAUGCCACUAACCCACGCACCCAGUAACCAAUUGUGCAUGCACACACACAUGCACACAACUAGCCAACUAAUUCAACCGGUCACACAUGACAUGGCCAUGCAUAUAGUUAAACGAAUCCAAAAUUAGAAUUAUACUACAAACUUCCUCUAAUUUUGAAUUUGCGUGCAUUUCUUCCUCAGACUAAUUCCACCUGACGCCAUCGCGCGCCUCCGCCUGUCGUUGUAACGUGCCAACAGCUCACCAUCGUCGGAGUUGGUGUAGCUCCUGUCGUCGAUGUCGCCGCCACAACCGUGACACCUGACCUGGCGCACCGCCACGGACCUGACCUGGCGCACUGACGUCGGUCACACUGUGCUCCGACACGACUCCGGCGACAUACGUCGAGCUCCUUCUCCGCCGGCGACACACGCCCGGCGUCCUUCCGCGCCACGCACGUCCCGCGCGCAUCCGACGCACUCGACGAGCCCGACCGCACCAGUACGUCUCGCACGUCCCGCGCGCACCCGACGCGCUCGACGAGCCCGACCACACCACACGCCGUGGACUCACAGCGUGCCGCCUCCGCGUCCGCCAUGACAGCCGCAGCGCCGCGCACCUCCACAGGCCGACACACAGCCCGAAGCUUCACCAUGCAGCUGCCGGCGAACGCCGCCACCGCCUGCACGCCUCCGGUAAGGGGACGACGCCCAAGAUGAACCAGCUCAUGAUACCAAUUGUUGGCGCAAAUUCGAAAACCAUACACACAAGAUAACCCAACUCGAGCACGAACUCACAGCAAUGGUGACGAACGCCGCGGCCGCGAACCGGCCUGUAUCUUGACAACCUUUAUUCACUAGAUUUGACACUCUACAGCUCACACACACAAACUGCACACACACACUAGCACCUCUGGCUACACACGCCAGGUGCCAUGGAGCCUACACACGGAAGCCUACAUCUUGCCUCUCGUCUAGACUACUCUACACACAACGCAAGCUCUUGAAAUAGCCUCACGCACGCACACAACCGGGGCAACAAACCUGGCUUGGUUUUGUGCCACUAACCCACGCACCAGUAACCAAUUGUGCAUGCACACGCACAUGCACACAACUAGCCAACUAAUUCAACCGGCCACACAUGACUCGGCCGUGCAUGUAGUUAAACGAACCCAAGAUCAGAAUUAUACUAACAAACUCCCCCUAAUUCUGAAUUU